rnacentral:lncRNA from 1 species
GAUUAGAAUCAUUUUGGGGGCAUAUGAAUCGAAGAAAACCUUUUCUAAUAGAAGGUUAUUAUGAGUGUAUGGAGUAUGUCCUAGCCGUAAACGAUGGAUACUAGGCGCUGUGCGUAUCGACCCGUGCAGUGCUGUAGCUAACGCGUUAAGUAUCUCGCCUGGGGAGUACGUUCGCAAGAAUGAAACUCAAAGGAAUUGACGGGGGCCCGCACAAGCGGUGGAAUAAUAUUAGAACUCCAAUC